rnacentral:misc_RNA from 1 species
GGAAGGAUCAUUAACAAAUCUAUGAGCGAAAGCUCAUCAACCUUUGUGAAUUGGGUUGUGUAGUUGGCAACAAUUAUGCAACUUCGUUGGGGUCCCUUUGUGAUAGAGAGAUUAUUUCGAAAGAUUUAAUUUUUCUAUUGCUUAUUAACAUUGUCUGAUUAUAGAUUGAAGUCGUAAGAUUUCAAAUAAAAAUACAACUUUUAACAAUGGAUCUCUAGGCUCUUGCAACGAUGAAGAACGCAGUGAAUUGCGAUAAGUAAUGUGACUUGCAUUCAUUUGUGAAUCAUCGAAUCUUUGAACGCACCUUGCACUUAAAUAGUCGAUAUUUAAGUAUACCUGUUUGAGUAUCAUAAACAUUUAUCCAAUUUAUUGGGAUUUGAGAGAUUAGUGUUACGGCGUUAUCUCUUUAAAUGUAGUUAGGAAGUCAAGGUAAAGAGCGCUUUAUUCUUGGAUGAGGAUAUUUACUCUAGUAGUAAACAAAUCAUUGGAGAGUGGAGAGGCGAUAUUUUGAAUCCUUCUGUCUCUUGCAGACAACUAGUACAAAUGUGAUCUCAAAUCAGGCAAGACUACCCGCCGAACUUAAGCAUAUCAGUAAGCGGAGGAAAAGAAACUAACAAGGAUUCCCUUAGUAAUGGCGAAUGAACCGGGAAAAGCUCAAAUUUAAAAUCUGGCUGGGUUACCAGUCCGAAUUGUAAUUUAUAGAAACGUUUUCUUGUAAAUUGAUUGGUAAAAGUUCCUUGGAAUAGGACAUCAUAGAGGGUGAGAAUCCCGUCUUUGACCUUUCAUAUUUACUUUAUGAUACGUUUUCAAAGAGUCGGGUUGCUUGGGAAUGCAGCUCAAAAUGGGUGGUAAAUUUCAUCUAAAGCUAAAUAUUGGCAAGAGACCGAUAGCGAACAAGUACCGUGAGGGAAAGAUGAAAAGAACUUUGAAAAGAGAGUUAAAUAGUACGUGAAAUUGUUAAAAGGGAAGCGCUUGAAAUCAGUAUUGUGUGCAAGAAUUCAGCCGUAAUUUAUAAAGAGUUGCGGUGUAUUUUCUUGUAUGCAAGUCAAUAUCAGUUUUGCUUGUUGGAAAAGGGGAAGAGGAAGGUGAUCAUUGGCUUCGGCUUUUGGUUUUAUAGACUCUUUCUUAUACAGCGAGUCGGGACUGAGGACUGCAAUACUUCUAGGUCUAUUUGUCCUAUAGUUGGAUCGAAAGCGGAGACUACAUGUAGACUAUGCUUUUGCUCUCACUAUACGGUCAAUAAGAUACUCCAGUAUUUAGGAUAUUGACGAAAUGGUUUUAAACGACCCGUCUUGAAACACGGACCAAGGAGUCCAACACAUAUGCGAGUAUUAGAGUGUUAAACUCUGAUGCGAAAUGAAAGUGAAUAAUGAGAGUCGCAAGACGCAUCAUUAACCCAUCUAGAAGUUUUAAUGGAUAGAUUGGAGUUUGAGCAUAUUUGUUGGGACCCGAAAGAUGGUGAACUAUGCCUGAAUAGGGUGAAGUCAGAGGAAACUCUGAUGGAGGCUCGUAGAGGUUCUGACGUGCAAAUCGAUCUUCAAAUUUGGGUAUAGGGGCGAAAGACUAAUCGAACCAUCUAGUAGCUGGUUCCCUC